rnacentral:rRNA from 1 species
ACUGUGGGUAGCGGAGAAAUUCCAAUCGAACCCGGAGAUAGCUGGUUCUCCCCGAAAUAGUUUUAGGACUAGCCUCAAGUUAGAUACCUGGAGGUAAAGCACUGAAUAGCCUAGCGGCCGAGAGGUUAGCGAAGCUUAUCAAACUCAGAAUGCCAGAGUAUUGAUGCUUGGGAGUCAGACAGUGUCAGAUAAAUGUCAUUGUCAAAAGGGAAACAGCCCAGAUCUACAGCUAAGGUCCCAAAGUCAGGUUAAGUGGAAAACGAUGUGAAGAUACGCAGACAACCAGGAUGUUGGCUCAGAAGCAGCCACUCAUUCAAAGAGUGCGUAAUAGCUCACUGGUCGAGCGUCUUUGCGCGGAGAAUUUAACGGGGCUAAACCUGACACCGAAGCUUAGGCAAUCCAGCAAUGGAUUGGGUAGGGGAGCGUUGUAUACGCGGAGAAACAGUAGCGUAAGCGGCUGUGGAGUGUAUAGAAGUGAGAAUGCCGGAAUGAGUAGCGCGAAUGCAGUGAGAAUCUGCAUGGCCGAAAGCCUCAGGUUUUUGGAGGAAGGUUCGUCCGCUCCAAGUUAGUCGGGAGCUAAGGUGAGGCCGGAAGGCGUAGCCGAUGCACAGACGGUAGAGAUUCCGUCACCACCAAAAGAGUUAAGCACAGGGACACAUUUGAAGUCUCAGAGCCGGGUGUUGGUUCCGGUAGAGAUCGAGGGAAGUUAGUACCGAAGUCUGGGAUGGAAGAUGGCGAGAAAAGCUGUGUGUAUUUCUGAGGUGCCCGUACCGCAAACCGACACAGGUAGGUAGGAAGAAGAUUCUAAGGCCAACGGGAGAAGGGUUGUUAAGGAACUCGGCAAAUUGACCCCGUAACUUCGGGAGAAGGGGUGCUCCAGAGAUGGAGCCGCAGAGAAUCGGCCCAAGCAACUGUUUACCAAAAACACAGGUUUGUGCUAAAUCGAAAGAUGACGUAUACGAGCUGACGCCUGCCCGGUGCUGGAAGGUUAAGAGGAGAUGUGCAAGCAUUGAAUCGAAGCCCCAGUGAACGGCGGCCGUAACUAUAACGGUCCUAAGGUAGCGAAAUUCCUUGUCAGGUAAGUUCUGACCCGCAUGAAAGGCGUAAUGAUUUGGGCACUGUCUCAACAGCCCGCCCGGCGAAAUUGUAGUACCGGUGAAGAUGCCGGUUACCCGCGACAAGACGGAAAGACCCCAUGGAGCUUUACUGUAGCCUAAUAUUGGGUUUCGAUGUUGCAUGCACAGGAUAGAUGGGACACUGGGAAACAAUCGCUUUGGCGGUUGCGGAGUGGCCGUUGGGAUACCAUCCUUGCGAUAUUGGAAUUCUAACCUGCGGCUCUGAAUCGAGUCGGGGGACAUUGUUAGGUGGGCAGUUUGACUGGGGCGGUCGCCUCCUAAAAAGUAACGGAGGCGUUCAAAGGUUCGCUCAGCUUGAACGGAAAUCAAGCAAAAGAGUGCAAACGCAGAAGCGAGCCUAACUGCGAGACUGACGGGUCGAGCAGUAACGAAAGUUGGAGUUAGUGAUCCGGUGGUAUGUGAGUGGAAAUGCCAUCGCUCAACGGAUAAAAGUUACCCUGGGGAUAACAGGCUGAUCUCCCCCAAGAGUCCACAUCGACGGGGAGGUUUGGCACCUCGAUGUCGGCUCAUCGCAUCCUGGGGCUGUAUUCGGUCCCAAGGGUUUGGCUGUUCGCCAAUUAAAGCGGUACGCGAGCUGGGUUCAGAACGUCGUGAGACAGUUCGGUCCCUAUCUGUCGUGGGCGCAGGAUAUUUGAUGGGAGCUGUCCCUAGUACGAGAGGACCGGGACGGACGUACCUCUGGCGCACCAGUUGUUCCGCCAGGAGCAUAGCUGGGCAACUACGUACGGAUCGGAUAAACGCUGAAAGCAUCUAAGCGUGAAGCCGACCCAAAGAUAAGAUAUCCCACUGAUUUGAUCAGGUAAGACCCCUUGA